rnacentral:tRNA from 2 species
GGGCUAUUAGCUCAGUGGUAGAGCGCGCCCCUGAUAUUCACGGGCGAGGUCUCUGGUUCAAGUCCAGGAUAGCCCAGC